AUUGAACGCUGGCGGCAUGCCUUACACAUGCAAGUCAAACGGCAGCACGGGUGCUUGCACCUGGUGGCGAGCGGCGAACGGGUGAGUAAUACAUCGGAACGUACCUUAUCGUGGGGGAUAACGCAGCGAAAGCUGUGCUAAUACCGCAUACGCCCUGAGGGGGAAUGCGGGGGAUCGCAAGACCUCGCGCGAUUAGAGCGGCCGAUGCCUGAUUAGCUUGUUGGUGGGGUAAAAGCCCACCAAGGCGACGAUCAGUAGCUGGUCUGAGAGGACGAUCAGCCACACUGGGACUGAGACACGGCCCAGACUCCUACGGGAGGCAGCAGUGGGGAAUUUUGGACAAUGGGGCAACCCUGAUCCAGCAAUGCCGCGUGAGUGAAGAAGGCCUUCGGGUUGUAAAGCUCUUUUGUCAGGGAAGAAACACCGGCUCUAACACAGUCCGGGAAUGACGGUACCUGAAGAAUAAGCACCGGCUAACUACGUGCCAGCCGCCGCCGUAA
rnacentral:rRNA from 1 species